rnacentral:rRNA from 1 species
CGGAGGGCAGCAGUGAGGAAUAUUGGUCAAUGGGCGCGAGCCUGAACCAGCCAAGUCGCGUGAGGGAUGACGGUCCUACGGAUUGUAAACCUCUUUUGCCGGGGAGCAAGCGUGCGUUCGUGAACGCGCGUCGAGAGUACCCGGAGAAAAAGCAUCGGCUAACUCCGUGCCAGCAGCCGCGGUAAUACGGAGGAUGCGAGCGUUAUCCGGAUUUAUUGGGUUUAAAGGGUGCGUAGGCGGGAUGCCAAGUCAGCGGUAAAAAUGCGGUGCUCAACGCCGUCGAGCCGUUGAAACUGGCGUUCUUGAGUGGGCGAGAAGUAUGCGGAAUGCGUGGUGUAGCGGUGAAAUGCAUAGAUAUCACGCAGAACUCCGAUUGCGAAGGCAGCAUACCGGCGCCCUACUGACGCUGAGGCACGAAAGCGUGGGUAUCGAACAGGAUUAGAUACCCUGGUAGUCCACGCAGUAAACGAUGAAUGCUAACUGUCCGGCUCGAAUGAGCGCUGG